rnacentral:rRNA from 1 species
CACGUAGGCGGCUUUCUAAGUCAGGGGUGAAAUCCUGGAGCUCAACUCCAGAACUGCCUUUGAUACUGGAAAGCUUGAGUUCGGGAGAGGUGAGUGGAACUGCGAGUGUAGAGGUGAAAUUCGUAGAUAUUCGCAAGAACACCAGUGGCGAAGGCGGCUCACUGGCCCGAUACUGACGCUGAGGUGCGAAAGCGUGGGGAGCAAACA